GCUGCAUGAGAUUUUAUCUUGAAUGAAUAUUUAUGGUGAUCAGCACGCGAGCUUCUAAUUGUUGGUAUAAUAAACCAUAUCACAAUCUGCCAAAGGGAACAAUUUGAUGUCAUUUCUUCUUUAGCUUCAAAGGACAGAUUGCAAUAGAGAAAAGGCACUAAAAAUCAAAGAAAUAAGAAAAUUUUCAUUUGCAAGUAAUGGGUGCUUAAAAUAUCAAAUACAGUGCCAUAUGUGUCAUAUUUCAAUCCAAAAGAGCAGGCACAAUCGCAUAUUCUUAGUCACAAAGUUAAGACUCAAACUGGAGACCUUUCCCCCUCUUUGUAGAGAUGAACGCCACUGGGUGAAACGUGGAUUUGUAACUUCAGCUCAACCUCAAGAAGUGAAAGAAAUUCCUGGAAUUUCGAGGCAAAAGGGAAGCUGAGGAAGAGGUAAUGCUGCAACAAGAUCUAUGAAGAAAUCUGAUCUCAAAUAUCUCAUUGCGAUCAACUUAGGAUCCAUAACAAGUUCACCUCUCCCAAAAACUCUUGAACUAGGUGAGACAUAAGCUGUCCUAAACUUUAUUACAAUAUGAACUAUGUAAAAUACAUCAGCAAAUGUUCUAAAACAUGUCACAGUAAUUCCUAAAUUCUAAUCAGUAUCCAUACAAGAUGACUUUUCCUUGUUGCUUGCUGAUGGAAGGUA